UGGACUCACAUUCGGCCUUAGCGCAGACCAGACUAGCCGAUGGGUAGCUGAAGGAGCGUAGGAUGGCUCCGAUGGCAAGGCUCAGAUCCUCGUUGCUAGGAUACAGAGUCACAGACGCAAAGCGCAGAUGUGACUGACUAUGGAGCCCGACGCAGGACUGGAGGCGGGGCCAAUCACAGAGACCACACCCUUUGGCAGAAUCUGGCACACUACGACCAAAAGUAGAGCAUUUAAUUCCUCAAAUCUGCUCUGUUUGCCUUUCUGAGUCACUUUAUGCUUCACUUUAAAGUUUUUUUUAAGGGUGCAGGAAUG